rnacentral:rRNA from 1 species
CCUACGGGUGGCAGCAGUGAGGAAUAUUGGUCAAUGGACGCAAGUCUGAACCAGCCAUGCCGCGUGCAGGAAGACGGCCCUAUGAGUUGUAAACUGCUUUUGUCCGAGGGCAAACGCAGGUACGCGUAUCUGUAUGAAAGUAACGUACGAAUAAGGAUUGGCUAACUCCGUGCCAGCAGCCGCGGGAAUACGGAGGAUUCCAGCGUUAUCCGGAUUUAUUGGGUUUAAAGGGUGCGUAGGCGGAAGGUUAAGUCAGCGGUAAAAUGUCGGUGCUCAACCCCGGCCUGCCGUUGAAACUGGGCUUCUUGAGUGAGCGAGAAGUAUGCGGAAUGCGCGGUGUAGCGGUGAAAUGCAUAGAUAUCGCGCAGAACCCCGAUUGCGAAGGCAGCGUGCCGUGCCGCCACUGACGCUGAGGCACGAAAGCGCGGGGAUCGAACAGGAUUAGAUACCCGAGUAGUC